UUGACAGUGCAAGCGAAACGUCAGUCAUUUUCGUGUUGUGCAAAUCGGUGGAGGUCGAGUUUUUCACUACUAUUCUAAAAUCGCACAAAUGUACCGAUAAUCUAUGGGUUUCCUCUCAAAAUGAUUAAGCUGUUCGUGAUGGAACCACCGGAGGUGAAACAACAAUCGGCAUCGGCCACUGGUGUGAAAUAUUAAUUCCUAAAAUCCACUUCACCUUGGAGCAAACAAAUUGGCCGCCCCCGGCAAUGGAAUGCCCUGACCGGGGCAAGACCGUGACCCGCCUGAACCGGAAAAAUGAGCCGACCUCGACGUCUCCGGAUCUCACUGGACCCGAUAUUCGGAAAUCUCGGAUUAUGCUGCAGCUGAAGGAAUUCUUCGGUGGAAACAACCGCAAGUGACUACUGGAGUUCAGAUGAUGUCAGUGAUUGGCUCGUCUCGGGCGACGAACAGAAAAACGUGUAAAAAUCAAACCCGACAAGUGCAAAAGUGCAGGCUGCUAGAUUUUUCGUUGUGUUUCCAGAUUCGUUGUGUUUCCAGGUCAUUAUGGGUCAUUACGAAACAAAUGGAAACCGAAAGUGCAAAUGUUAUUAUACUGAAAAUGUGUGGUUUAUUUUUUAAAAUAAAAUAAAUGUUUAAUCAUGAUUUGCAA